rnacentral:rRNA from 1 species
CAGUCGAACGGAACUGUUUUGAAAGAUUUCUUCGGAAUGAAUUUGAUUUACUUUAGUGGCGGACGGGUGAGUAACGCGUGAGUAACCUGCCUUCAAGAGGGGGAUAACAUUCUGAAAAGAAUGCUAAUACCGCAUGACAUAUCGGAAUCACAUGGUUUUGAUAUCAAAGAUUUUAUCGCUUGAAGAUGGACUCGCGUCCGAUUAGUUAGUUGGUGAGGUAACGGCUCACCAAGACCGCGAUCGGUAGCCGGACUGAGAGGUUGAACGGCCACAUUGGGACUGAGACACGGCCCAGACUCCUACGGGAGGCAGCAGUGGGGGAUAUUGCGCAAUGGGGGCAACCCUGACGCAGCAACGCCGCGUGAAGGAUGAAGGUUUUCGGAUUGUAAACUUCUUUUAUUAAGGACGGAACUUGACGGUACUUAAUGAAUAAGCUCCGGCUAACUACGUGCCAGCAGCCGCGGUAAUACGUAGGGAGCAAGCGUUGUCCGGAUUUACUGGGUGUAAAGGGUGCGUAGGCGGCUUUGCAAGUCAGAUGUGAAAUCUAUGGGCUCAACCCAUAAACUGCAUUUGAAACUGUAGAGCUUGAGUGAAGUAGAGGCAGGCGGAAUUCCCCGUGUAGCGGUGAAAUGCGUAGAGAUGGGGAGGAACACCAGUGGCGAAGGCGGCCUGCUGGGCUUUAACUGACGCUGAGGCACGAAAGCGUGGGUAGCAAACAGGAUUAGAUACCCUGGUAGUCCACGCUGUAAACGAUGAUUACUAG